AUUCAUUCGCACGCGUAAAUCGCUGAUAGGCUAACUUGUCUAUCUAUGGGCAAUCACGCCCUUUGAGCCUUAGACAAAUGAAAUAUGUUACACAGCUAUAUAGUGAUUCGAUCUUUUCAGUCGUUCGAUUUUCCUUGUUCAAUUCGCGCUCGUCGCGGCGACAUUGAUCUUUUCGUGUUUUACGAAUAUUCAUCAUCGAGAUGUGCCAGCGAAUUCUAUUGGAUUACACGCGCCAGCCGAGCCUUCAAACAAUUCCCGGCCCGGAUAUCUCGUUAAUUAUACAUCAUCGAUCUCCCGGCAAGUCGGUUCACUUUGAGAGAGCAACCACUUAAAGCGAAGACUCUCCCAAUAUGCACUUCAAAGAAACGCCAAAUUGGUUAGAAGUUAUGGCACCUGAGAAGCGCAUGCUAUCACACAUACAAAUUACUAACCUUCGCCGUGCUUUUAGUUGAAAACAAGAAAAAAAAAAUUACAAGGACAUCCAGAAGACAUUCAAGAGGAUUAUACUGCAAAAACCAGUUCUCCCGGUAAGGUCAGACAAAUACAGAGCGCGAUUCUUUUCGCGCGGGCAGCGAAACAUUCGUCCUUUUAUGGAUUUUCA